rnacentral:rRNA from 1 species
UUGAUCCUGGCUCAGAAUCAACGCUGGCGGCGUGCCUAACACAUGCAAGUCGAACGCGAAAGUCCCGCAAGGGGCAAGUAGAGUGGCAAACGGGUGAGUUACACGUGGGUGACCUGCCUUCGAGUGGGGGAUAACGUCCCGAAAGGGACUCUAAUACCGCAUGACAUCCUGCUCUUGGAAGAGCGGAGAUCAAAGCUGGUGAUCGCAAGACCUGGCGCUUGAAGAGGGGCCCGCGCCUGAUUAGCUAGUUGGUGGGGUAAUGGCUCACCAAGGCGACGAUCAGUAUCCGGCCUGAGAGGUCGGACGGACACACUGGGACUGAGACACGGCCCAGACUCCUACGGGAGGCUGCAGUGGGGAAUUGUUCGCAAUGGGCGAAAGCCUGACGACGCAACGCCGUGUGGAGGACGAAGAUCUUCGGGUCGUAAACUCCUGUCGAGCGGGAAGAAUGAUCCGCGGUUGAAUAGACCGCGGAAUUGACGGUACCGCUAAAGGAAGCUCCGGCUAACUCCGUGCCAGCAGCCGCGGUAAUAAGGU